AGCAGCUGGGACACAUUUUUGUUGACCAUACUCGCAGGUAAAAUAAGUAGAUUAUGUGGACAGCUCCAGCUCAUUUUCCUUAAAUCAGUGUGUACAAGGGGUAUGCAAAAAUAAUUUUUUUCUCGCGCACCGAUUCUUUUGCUGUAUAAGCAAGAGAACCCACCACGUUAGUGUAACGUAUCUUGUACAUCACACUAAUAAGUGCUUUAAUUUACCAAGUGAGAUGAGUUACUUUUAUGGAUCAUUCAGUCAUAUCACACUGCAAGCUGCAUUCAUCAAUCUUCAAUUGGAUUUCGCAUGAAACAUGUUUCCCUUUUAUGCAGAUAUGCAAUGGCAAGCCCUUCCGUGUGUUCCAAAGGUAAAAUUUAAGCUCGAAAUUAAAGAAGACAUUUCUAGUCAGAAACAAGCAAAAAUGGUGAAUGCAGAGUAUCAGAAGCCCAAGGUACAGAAAUUAUGAGAUGUGUCGAAUGAUUUUAAGGAAAGAAUGGUAUUUGAAGAUGCAAGAUUCUUUAGUGGAAAUCAAGCAAGUCAGUAUAGGUAGAAUACUCUGAGAAAUUAUGCGAGUAAUGGGAUAGCACACAAUGGGUCAGGAAAUGCGUUGUUUUUCUGAAAAACUAAAGCUGAUGACUGUCAUAUCAUGAGUCACUUUAGCAUCAUGAGACUGCUGUUUGAUAAAUUCAGAAACAAACCAAAAAGCAAGCCACGCAAAAAUUUAAAAAAACUAUUUAAUGAUGCUCUCUCCACACUGGGAUAAAUAAUAAGAAACGGAUCACGUCUAAUGUGGACAUAUCAGACACCUUGUGAAACGCUAAAGGAAAAGUUCAGUUUCGAGCUAUGGCACUUGCCACAUAGAUGUGGGGGGCCUUGCACCAAUAGUAAUAGUUACCACUGCAUCUAGAAAUUUAAAGCAUUCAUGCAGACAAGGAUCAUUCUUUAUAUUUUUGGCUACCACUUCAAAUGCCUCCACUAAGUGUUACAAUGCUGCACGCAGCCAUACUAAGGAUCUCACAGCAACACUUGCAGGUAAACAGCAAAAGCAGUCAAGUGCUGGUGUAUUCUGGACACUGUCUUUGAAAACUUUUAGGCAAGAACAGUGCAAGAAACAGACAUAAGAACUGCAUUUAUUUCUAUAAUUCCCCAUUUGAAUGGCCUUUUCUUUUUCCUUCGACAAUGCCUUCGCCUAGCCACAGCAGCUCCCUCAUACAGACUCCGCAAGCCAAGAGGCCGUGGAGGUAAAUGCAGACAGCCAGCACACCUCGAACAGCCACCUUGACUGCGGGUGUGUCACCCUAGUCGCCAAGGAAACAUUUGAGGGAAAGCGACAGGCAAUGUGAACAGCCACUUCUCCAUGUAAACGAUACUUUAUCUCUCGGAUGACUCCUACGUUCGCCACGCCAGCACACUUGUGCACAAAGAUGCCGCGGAGGCACGUGCAGGUCAGAGGCAAGAAGCAGUGGCACUGGUGUCGACAUUCGCCUAAUUUCUUUUUCUUACACUGAGGCAGCCAGCCCACCUCGAACAGCCACCUUAACUGCGGGUGUGUUAGUAGAUUCCUGUUGUACAUAUGCUCAUAAUAAACUUCAGUAAACUUGAACUUGAUAAUAAACUUGAAGGCAAAUGGGA